UACGGGGGGGGCAAGCGUUGUUCGGAAUUACUGGGCGUAAAGGGCUCGUAGGUGGCCAACUAAGUCAGACGUGAAAUCCCUCGGCUUAACCGGGGAACUGCGUCUGAUACUGGAUGGCUUGAGUUCGGGAGAGGGAUGCGGAAUUCCAGGUGUAGCGGUGAAAUGCGUAGAUAUCUGGAGGAACACCGGUGGCGAAGGCGGCAUCCUGGACCGACACUGACGCUGAGGAGCGAAAGCCAGGGGGAGCAAACGGGG
rnacentral:rRNA from 1 species